GUAGGAAUCCCAGACCUCUUUUUGGGCACUGAGCUCCUUAAUGUAGCUCUAUUCCUUGUUAUCCUUAGUGUCAUUCUUGUGAUAAAAGGCCAGAGCUUUCUACAGAUUUAUGGGUGGUGGGUGGAAACUACUGGAGGUCAACAUAACUUUUCCUUUUGGUUCCCCUUUUGUCAAGGGCUUAGAGGAGCAGUGACCCACACUAGGACAGCCACAGCCUAUGUGGAUCAGGUUUAGCAGUGACCUAAGUGGAUUCCUGACGUUCUCAGGAGACCAUGCCGCUCAUAACUCUGCCCCCUCUGCUGAAUGUGCUUCAGGAACAAAGGGCAGGUAUGAGGGCUGAGAGCACUUCUUGUUUUCCUCCCAUAAAACAUGCAUGGGGGAAGGAGGCCUAUUUUACUCCCUGAACAGGAGUUGUUUUGGUCCCCAGUGUUCUCUAACUCUCCUGACUUUAUCUGGGGGCUAAUGGGACAAGUAGCUCUUGAUUUGAUCAUCUCAGGGCUGUAGAUGUUUGAAGUUACACCCUACAUACAAAAGGUUAUUUUUGCUUUUGGAGGAGCUUAUAGUGAAACCAGCUUGGCAAUCAUUUGUUUUCUCAGUUCACCUAUAAAGUUUUUUUUUCCUCCUUCCUUUGCUCUGUUUUUACUAGGAAUGAAUGAAUAACAUGGCAAGGAAUGAGUGAGUGACAGACAGUAAAUGUACCUGUCAUGGGGAGUGUCCUUUAUAGGACUGAAAUCGAAGAAGAGAAGUGACCCCAAGAGCAGCAGCUACCCCUCCACUUUUCCCCCCCAGACCCUGGGGCUGUCUGCCAUGUUAUUUUGGUUCUGCACGUCCAAGAUGAACUCAGAGAAGCACUUACUGCCAUGGACAUUAAAUAAGAAGACAUAUGCACUUAGUUCAUGGUGUGUAUGUCUGGUAUGUGGCUGGAAUUCACCAACUGUUCCACCUCUUCUUUCUCCUGUCCCUCCCCACAGACUGCUUUGAGUCACAGUAUGUCUUGUGCUUAUUGCUGGUCCAGGAUGAACUGGAUCAGGUCACUUUCUGACUGAGGAGUUGUACUCCUGGUCGCCCAUCUGCAUGUUUGGUUCCAAGUCGUACUUGAUCUUGCUGAUGGUUGAGACUGGAAGACAGUGACAGUAGUGAUAUUCUUGAAAAUGUUAUGCACUCAGCAAAUGUUAGUUACGGACUAGGUACUGUUCUAAGCACUUCCCUCUAUUUUUUCAUAUAGUGCUUGCAAUAACUCCCAUAACGUAGGCACUUUACAGUGGUGUAACCAAGGCUCGGUUGAGUCAAGAACAGGGUCGUAUGUCCUGCUAAGGAGAUAGCAGUGCCUGGGAAUAUAGCAGCCAAGAUGGCUAUGUUGUGCAGCUGUCUGAUGUUGGGGACCAUAUGAAGUAGGAGGGGAUACGCACGUCUGUCUGAGUGUAGGUGUGAAAAGUGCUUGUGCACCGUCCUCUAGGGGAGAGCAGAGCAGUGUGCUGCUUUGGAAUGAGGGCAGUAGAGCUCUUCUCUCCACACCAGCCUCCUCGAGCCACAUUCUGUGUUCUGAUGCUGCAUUCACUUACAUACACUGCAUGAUAGUCUUUAUGGCAUAAAAUAUACAAUAUACACCGUUUCUCCUGUUCACUCAAAGGAAGCAUCUGGUUAACUCCCUUCUCUCUCAGAACCUGAGUCUUUUUCAGGUGGGAGAGGUGCCUGGAAAGAGGACAUGUGGUUGUUUUGGUUUAGUCCUUAUUAUCAUUUCUGGAACAUUGCUAUAGGUCUCAGACAAGUAUUCCCCCAAGUCUGAGUUGCCAGGCCAACAUUUAGACACAAACUGUGGCCUUUGUCAAACUCUGCUGUGGGUUGUUUCACUCGGUGUCCCCUGACCGUGGUGAAUAGCUGCUUCCCGUCUUCAUUUCACCCGUCCCUUGUGUGUUCCAGGGGGACUGACAGGGGCAGUAAUUGGCGCCCCAUCUUCGUUUAGUUACUGACUUUGCUUUUCUUCACAUAGUUCAGCUUGCGGCCACUCUUCCAUCUAGUGGAUAACUGUUGAAGGGAGCCCAGUGGGAGAAUAGAGACACUGUUUGACAGACGUCUGUGAGCACCUACCAUGCGUGCUGGCUUAGGCGCUGGGAUUCAGCAAUAAGUCACACACUGAGAAGACUAGUUAUGCUGUGUGUAAACAGACAAAUACUGGCCAGCCAACUGAAUUUGAGGAAACCAGGUUGGACUCUUAAGUGAGAAGAAAUGAAGAGGGAGACUUCAAAAAACAAGGCAUAAAUGAAACAAUUAUUGUAGGAAAAAGUUGUCGCUGUUACCAGAACUGCCGCGAUGGCUGUCUCCCGGACUGGGCUCUGCCAUCUUCCAGAGGACUCGGCGUCGCACGCCAGCUGCAGAAGAACCACUGUUCUCGGUUAGGAUAGUGCGGCCUGUUAUCCAGCUCUGAGAGAGAACAGUCGAGAAAUGAUUUUUAUAUAGAAGGGAGCAUUUGUACUUUGUCAUAGAAGAGCUUGUUCACCAGGCAAUGGCAGAGAAAAGAGAGUUUCUUCCCUGCUGCCUAGAAUUCUUCUCUGACAGUCCCUCCACCCCACUGGGUGUAGGAAGGAACUGAGUAUAGCAGUUGAAGAUGAAAUGUUUUAUUCAUUUGUUCAUUCAGCACAUGUUUGAGAACUUACUGUAUGCCAGACAUUUGAAACUUCCCAGUGGUUUGAGCUGGGCCAAGCAGUGCCUUUUAGUCUACUGGCCUUUGGUCCUGCCUGGAGUUAAGACCAAGAACCUGAUUCCAGGGCAGUCAGGAUUGAGAGUCCGGAGCCUCACAGGGCCUCAUCACCUCUGGGUUUGGUACCAUUAUAGAGAAUAAUCACGUUAAUUUGGGCUGCUUGCUCCCAGGAAUUUCACAGCCAGGCUGAGACUCCUCAUACACGGCUAGGCUACUCUUGUCCCCACUGUGACAGAGAUCUGGCCAGUAGGAGGUGAGCUGUUAGGCCUGUGGCCUCCCAGUGGUUUUGUUCACAAUGUCCUGGCAAAGCAGCAAAAGAAAGGUGCUGUUGCCUGGAUCUCAAGGGUUCAAGCACUUUGUUACAGUGAAAUUACCAUGUCCUACAAAGCAGUAGAAGUGGAGUGUCACAGAUGCUGAGGUUAGCCCAGAUAGCUCUGGGAUUAGUGCUGCUGGGACCUUCUUGUCUUCUGGUAGACUAUCCCGCCUCCCUUUUAUUUCCUUACUGACCCAUCUUAUAAAAUAGUUUUAAUUUCUCUUUACUCUACCACUUAAGGCCAUUUAGGGUCACACUCUAUCUUUAAAAUCCAGUGUAAGUGGAGAAAGCACUGAACUGCCAGAUCUUAACAGUUAUACUUAAGAAAGUGCUAAAACUCUUGAGUUGCUGACUUGGGGUGAGACUUGCGGAGGUUGGUGAGAGUACCUGGAAUUAGGCCUAAUCCCUGCACCUUCCACCUACCAUAGAUUCCUUUUCUUUAAAUGUCAGAACUUGAUCUGUUAUGUGUCUGUAUCUUCAAAUGCAUUUUUCCUAGUGCUCUUUUAAAACUGUUGAACACUUCCUCGGGUAGAGGGGAAAGGAGUUAGACCCUCAGGAACAGAGACUCUCCUCUCUCUCUUCCUAGACCAUGGAGUUAACGAAAUUGGCCUAGAGCUGCUGAGGGGGUGCUGUGUUUGUGUCUCAGUGGGCUGCCUUUACUGAGUGGGACACAAAAGCCCAAAGCACAGGCCAUUCCCACAAGCCUAACAUUUUCAUAUUUCUUUCUCUGCCAAAGAAUCUUUGGUUAGGGUUAAGAAUAACCAGUCUGUCUUUGGAAAUACCAAGGCCUUUUGUUUGCCAGGAGAAAAGGGCUUUUGAUUAAGGCCAGUCUUCUCUCUCUUUUUUUUUUCUCCUUAAGCUGCUGUGAGAAGACCACAGAGCCUCUGAAGGUGCUGUG